UACGAAGGGUGCAAGCGUUACUCGGAAUUACUGGGCGUAAAGCGUGUGUAGGUGGUUGCUUAAGUCCGUUGUGAAAGCCCUGGGCUCAACCUGGGAAUUGCAGUGGAUACUGGGCGACUAGAGUGCGGUAGAGGGUAGCGGAAUUUCCGGUGUAGCAGUGAAAUGCGUAGAGAUCGGAAGGAACAUCUGUGGCGAAGGCGGCUACCUGGGCCAACACUGACACUGAGACACGAAAGCGUGGGGAGCAAACAGG
rnacentral:rRNA from 1 species